GCGUAAUCAUGUACAGUGUUCGGUUCUACCAUGGCAAGGCAAACAAACAGUAGAGGCAUUUUGUAAAAUCUGCUCGACAGUUUUCAAGUUCAGCUAUAUCAAGAAGAAGACAAGAUGGAUACUUUAUCUACCAAACAUAUGGUUUAUUCUGUAUGUUUGUGGAUAUGUGUGCUGUUUGUGCCACAAUGUGUAUCAGCUGGACGUACUACCACAGUCGGUACUCAAUCAAGUAGCCUGACAACUAUCGCAACUCCAAUAGUGUCAGCUACUACAACAUCGACAACAAAUACACCUACCAGUGUACCACCAGCAGCGGAAUCUACGU